UUGAAUCCACACAUUAAUCUUAUCCAGAUAUGGAAGGUGGACUAUAUUGUCAAGAAUCUGAUUCCAAUUUGAUCUUCUCUACCUUGGUCUUGUUAAGUCACUCUGUUGUCCAGGCUGGACCCAAGCUAGUGAUCCUCCUGCUUCAGCGUCCCAGAGUGCUGGUAUUACAGGAUCUGGCACUUUGGGACUUCCAGAUCGUCACCAUUCAAAGUGACCAUGAAAGGUAAAUGUUUUGAAAUGACUCAGGACAUUGAGGUAGCCUGGAAAGCACAACUAUAUACACUCACAAAAGAGGACUUCCAGAACUUCUUCCAGAACUUCUUCAGAAAGUGGCAAGAAAGUUGGGAUAAAUGUGUUCUAAUUGAGGGAUUAAUGGCAAUGUGUCUUUUACUGUAAUAAAUGUUUUCAAGGAAA